rnacentral:rRNA from 1 species
UACAGAGGUGGCAAGCGUUGUUCGGAAUUACUGGGCGUAAAGGGCGCGUAGGCGGUCUUUUAAGUCUUGUGUGAAAUCCCUCGGCUCAACUGAGGAACUGCACGGGAUACUGGAAGACUUGAGUUCGGGAGAGGGAAGCGGAAUUCCGGGUGUAGCGGUGAAAUGCGUAGAUAUCUGGAGGAAUACCGGUGGCGAAGGCGGCAUCCUGGACCGGCAUUGACGCUGAGGAGCGAAAGCUAGGGGAGCAAACGGG